rnacentral:tRNA from 1 species
AAAGUUUUAAGUUAAUCAAAACUAAUAGCCUUCAAAGCUAUAAAUAAAAUUCCACAUAUUUUAAGCUUUA